rnacentral:rRNA from 1 species
GGCAAUGGGCGAAAGCCUGACCCAGCCACGCCGCGUGUGUGAUGAAGGCUUCGGGUCGUAAAGCACUGUGGGGAGAGACGAAACAGCGCAUCAGGAAAUGGUUGCGCCUUGACGGUACCUCCUUAGCAAGCACCGGCUAACUCUGUGCCAGCAGCCGCGGUAAUACAGAGGGUGCAAACGUUGCUCGGAUUUACUGGGCGUAAAGCGCGUGUAGGCGGACUCGCAAGUCGGUUGUGAAAUCCCUGGGCUCAACCUAGGAACUGCAUCCGAAACUGCUUGUCUUGAGUAAUGGAGAGGGUGGCGGAAUUCCCGGUGUAGAGGUGAAAUUCGUAGAUAUCGGGAGGAACAUCAGUGGCGAAGGCGGCCACCUGGAC